UUACUAAGUUUUUAGCUGGUCUAAGGCAUGAUAUUCAGAAAGCUAUACGUUUACAUGAACCGAGAACGGUUGAUGCUGCGUUAUCUCUUGCUGAAAUGCAGGAGGAAAUACUGGAAGAAUCAAGACAUAUAUUGAGCUCUCGAUACAAGAAUGAAUUCUCCAAACCUCAGUUCAGAAAAUAUUAUUCUGCAAGAGGAAUUCUUCAGCAACCAGCAGAAGACACCGAGAAAAAGGCAGAUGCAAAACCCCCUUGGUCAGAUGCACUGCGCACACUCAAAGCGCAACGUAGGGAAUGAGGGGAAUGUUUCAAAUGUGGUGACAAGUAUCACCCCGGCCACAAAUGCACCAAAACGGUGUCAAUCGGUGUGGUGGAGCAAUUGCUAGAACUGCUCCAAGUGGAGUCUGCUUCUGAUGAUGGAAAGGAAGAGAACUCGUCUGAAGAGGAAACAUUCAUGAAAAUUUCCAUAUCAGCAGCAACAGGCAUGGCGGCCAAAAACACAAUUCGGCUGCAUGGCACAAUUGGGGGAAAGCAAAUUCUUGUACUAGCUAAUUUGUGCAGCCAGGGAAGGUUUAUCUCGGGCAAAACUGUGGCACAACUAGGCCUCAAAGAAAAGCAAAUCGAGCCCCCCAAGUGGUGGUCGCAAAUGGUGGCAAAGUCAAGUGUGACAAGAUAGCACCAGAGGUGGUGUGGCAAUGCCAAGGGAACGUCUUUGCCUCCUCUCUUCGCAUAUUUGAUGUUGCUGGCUAUGACAUCAUCCUAGGGAUGGAUUGGCUAGAAGCAUGUGGCGAUAUGCGGAUCAACUGGGAAAAGAAACCCUUGAGAUUCCGGCACGAGGGCAAACGGAUCACGCUCAGAGGAAUAAAAAAUCGCAUGGAUAAAUGUUCCCAAAUAUCAGGCCCUGGGUUACAUAGACUCAUCAAGAAUGGUUCACUGGCACAAGUGAUUCAACUGUGCACAGUCCAAGAGAAAACAAAUGAGGCAAGGCAACACAAACAUUUAUAGCAAUGGUGUUGGAGGAAUUCAGUGAGUGCUUUGGGGAACCGAACAAAUUGCCACCACAAAGAUCCUUUGAUCAUCAUAUCAACCUGGUGCCUGGGGAAAAACCAGUGAGUGUGCGUCCGUACAGGUAUACGCCACAACAAAAAGACGAGAUAGAGAAACAGAUUACAGACUUGCUGAAGAAGGUUAUCAUCAAACCAAGCCACUGCCCGUUUGCAUCCCCAGUUCUCCUCGUCAAGAAAAAAGAUGGCAGUGGGAGGUUCUGCGUGGAGUACAGACAUCUCAAUGCCACCACUGUAAAUGAUAAGUACCCAAUGCCAAUUGUGGAAUAAUUGCUUGACGAACUAGCAGGGGCAAAGUUCUUCACCAAGAUUGAUUUGAGAUCGGGGUAUCAUCAAAUUCGACUGGGAGAAAAUGAUGAAGUGAAAUCAGCAUUCCAAGCUCACAGAGGACACUUUGAGUUCCAUGUCAUGCCAGUUUGCUUAUCAAAAGCACCAGCGACAUUUCAAUCAGCGAUGCAACAAAUUUUGCAGAACAGCGUCAAAAAACUGUGCUCGUGUUCGUUGACGAUAUUCUAGUCUACAGCAAAUCCUUGCAAGAACAUGCUCAACACCUACGGGAAGUGUUCACCCUUUUGAAAAAGCACAGCCUAUAUGCCAAACAAAGCAAAUGCUCGUUUGCUCAGGAGUCCCUUGAGUACUUGGGACACAUUAUAAGUGCAGGAGGAGUUGCAACAGAUCCUGCGAAAAUCGAAGCAGUAAAACAGAGGCCAAGACCAAUCAACCUCAAGUUGCUGAGAGGCUUUCUCAGCCUAGCGGGAUACUACAGAAAGUUCAUAAUAGGGUUUGGUAGCAUAUGCAAGCCGCUGAAAAAUCUUCUGCGCAAGAACACGCAAUUUCUGUGGACACCAUCUGAGCAAGAUUCUUUCCAAGCCUUGAAGGAUGCACUGGUGGCAGCCCCCAAUGUUGGCUCUACCAGACUUCACAAAAGAAUUUGUCCUGGAAAAAGAUGCCUGAGACAGCAGUAUAGGAGCUGUCCUAAUGCAACAGGAACACCCAAUUGCAUUCUUAAGAAAAGCCCUUGGCCCCAAAAACCAAGCGUUGUCAACUUAUGACAAGGAGUGCCUAGCUAUUCUACUGGCCAUUGUCAAUACCACCGGCAAGUGAAAAAUAACGGUUCCUGUAGAUCGAGUAGCCUGCCAUCCGAACCGUGACGGUCCCGGUCCCGAUGCCUGUGCUCCCUGUGGAGAUGGAACCUGGCGCGCGGCGCGGCCCUCAGACCCUUGGGGGCGGCUCUCCUCCUCCAACCAGGCGAAAUUGCACAGCCGCGCCUCUCCGCACUGCCGUCGACGAGGCCUCCGCCUCGAGGGUGCUGACAGGAGUAUACGGGGCGCCGCACCUGGAUAGUCAGGGAGCCAUGCCAGAGGGAAGGGGUCGGGCUGAGAGGGCGGUACCGUGACUGACAAGACGGCUGGUGACGAGGGAGGGAGGAUCUGAUUGAGCGCCAACCUCCGUCCUCCACGGCGCCGCGCAGACCCGUCCUCCUCCAUGGCACCGGUGAGGGCGCGGUGGAAAGAAGGAGCGCAUCCAAGUUGGCCUUGGCCCUGGGUCUGCGUCUGCCCCGAGCAGCUUCAAGCCUGUGCUGAUGGGCACGGCCAGGAGUCGACGCCUCUGUCUGCCUCCCGUCGGUAAAUGGAUUCGGCAUUCAAAGAAAAAUUCUAGCCAGGAUCUCGAGGUAUUUGGCCGCGACAGCAUGGCAUCCUGGCCAUCGACGCAUGUGGUACCGCUUCACCCUGCACCGUUCCCCAUCCUCGUGGAUGACCGUGCUUGGGAUGACCGCCGCCGUCGUCUGGGACAGCGCCGUGGUCCGGGAGCGGGAGGGCAUGGCGGCUGUGCAGCCUGUGCUGCCGCGAGUUUUACACCAAAACAUGUCGUUGGAUUGAUCUACUUGGGAGUGAUAUUGACUAAAUCGGGGAUUGUGAUUAGCAGUAGAUUGACUUGGUCUGCAGCUCUAGCUCCCGUCGACCUCGCGCUUGCACAAUAGUGUAUGCUUCCUUAGUUUGAGAAUGAAUAUGACCAUAUAUCUCUGAUUGCUCGAGAGAAAAACAGCAGCGGGGAAAUGAGAAAAAGCAAGCUGCGAGGCCGCAGAACAACAUAGAAAAAGACUCAUGAUCGGCUCAGGAGUCAGACGAAUUAUCAAACUGUAAUGUGCUAUGAGGCUAUCAGAUGUUCACUUAUGUCCAUGCAAAAAAAAAUGUAUUUUGGGACUGUAUUUAUACAUGUCAGCGGGUGUUCAUAAUUAUGCACUAGAAUGA